UAAGACCAAAUAACUCUGCCUUGCCCAAUUUCAGCUCAAGUGGCUUCUCCAUUUGAGAGCAUCAUCAUGAUCUUCAUUCUGGACCAGAUUACUUAGUCAUAAAGCAACUAUGUUAAUUAGUGGUCCAAUUCUUCUCAAAAUUACCAGGAUGUAAGUCCUUCUUACCCUAAACAUACCAGACAACUCCUUUGACCUCAAUCAAGUCUCUGUGGAUCAGCAGUGCUCGAUCAAGUUUACUGCAGUAAACUUCAGAGCUUGAUUACUUUUUAACCAUGUCACUUUUAACCCAUCUACCACCUCAGAUGCAACCUCCCCUGGAUGAACUACUCACUAGACAACAUUUCCAAGUACCUCUCCCCCACUACAUGCCAGUGCACAUGGUGACCACGACAAUGGCAUGCAUGUGCACGCGCUCUGUGUGCAGUGCGCGCGUCCAGUGGCUGUUUGUGCUGGACCCCUUCUCCCUUUCGGCGUCUUCGAGCUCGUGAGCAUGUCCCACAGCUGCACCGCGUCGUCUCCCUCCUCCUGGAGCCCUCUCCCCCUCCUUCAGCCCCUCCGUCAGCGCUCGUCGCCGUGCGCCCAUGGGCGAGCUGUAACCGACUGAGGCUUUAAUGGCAUUCGGCUCUUCUCCUCUUGUCCACGAGCUCACCCUCGUCUCCGUGAGCCCUGACCCUCGUCCGUUCCCUCUCUCGUCACCUUCCCGAGCCCUCCCGUGCUCGCUGAGCGUCGCCAGAACCUUGGCCAAGAGCGAGUGGCGGCACCCGAGCCCGUGACCCUCGCCCCGGCUAUAAGUAGCCACCCCCAGCCCCGUUCGAGCACACUAGCAGCCUCUCCUCCCUCCUCUAGUCCUGCCUAGCCACUUCCUCGAGCUCGAGGAACUCCCAUUGCCCUCCCAAGGCCGAAGCCUCGCCUCGGGUCUCCGCCUAAAUUCGCGGCAUGCCGAGCCCCUCCCCUCCUCGUUCCACCACCAGGAGACCCACCGGAGUCCACCUCACCUCCCCACUCCCUCAGUUUGUCGCCGGAGGCCCUGUGGCCGCCCCUCCAUUGAACGGCCGCCGCCGGCCGCGCUCUCUGUUGCCUCCAGCCGCGGCAGCCCCGCUCCUCCCCGACGCCCGUUUGCCCUCUGAACGGACGCGCCGUCCUUCCCCGACCUCGCCGGCGUGUUCCACUUGGCCGAAGGUGGCCGGAAUCGCCAGCGCCCGUCGCCGGCAGCGCCUCUGCUCCGCCUCUGCCUCCUCCCGUUGCCUUCUCUCCACUCCUCCCCGACGCCUCUUUCCCCUCUGGACGGGUGCGCCGUCGCAUACCGCGGUCGCCGGUGCCCUCACCUCGGUCGGAGACGGCCGGAGUUGGCCGGGCCGGCGCCGGCCUCUUCCCUUCCCUCGCUCCUCUGUCACUGAUCGGGGAGGCAGCGAGGAGGAAGAAGACAGGCGCGAGGAGAGGGAGAUGGAUAAGGCGGGCCCCCUCUGUCAGCUGCUCAAGCCGGGCCACGCCACCACCACGUCACUUAAGUGGAAGUGUCAACUAGGCCGUACGUUUUCCUUAGGUGAAAGCGUAUUCCGGUAUUGCUUCAGGUCAGAGUAUGUUUUCUUUUCAGCUCAGGGGCCUGAAUGCGUUUUCCGGUUCUGAAAGUGUAUUGUCUGUAAUACGUUUCUGUUUUUCAGCUCAGGGGCCUGUUUGUGGAGAAAUCUUUAUAGAUUAGUCCCUGAACUUCAACCCCUCAUAUCUUUUUAACCACAACUCCAAAUGAGCCCUCCGAGAGAGAACUGUUUCCGGCAAGUCUUCCGCGGCUUCACCGCGCUUCCCCCCGUUGCCUUCUUCAUCCCCAGGCAAGCCACAAUACCCACUUGCAUGAUAAUCAUGCAGUAGCCAUGGUUUUCAACUUGAAUAUUGAAUAAAUGUUUGCUUGUUUAAAAGAUGGUUAUCGUUGUUUCGGUAAUGCUUUUGGGUUAGUGCUUACUUUCUUGCUAUGUUGUCAUGCACCUAGUUGUCAUGCCCUGCUAGUUGCUAGUGUUCCUUCAUAUGCUUAUGCUUGCUAGUAGUACAUGUUGAUGUUGGUGAUAUUGUCUUCGGUGCAUGACAGCUAUCUGUCCCGAGUACUGUUCUUAUACAUGUUCUAUUGCAUCCAGUUGGUUAAAUGCUUGCAUGAUAGCACUGUAGAUAUAUUCUUGCAUGGUAUUUAUUGUUGAUGCUAGUGGUCAUGUUAUGUUAUGAGUAGUGUUGCACUUGUAAUAUUUAUGCUCGUCAUUAUGCCAUGUUCAGUUGGAUAUGAUUAAUUGUUGAUAUGGUGGAUAGUUAUGUUGUACCCUCAUGAUUAUGUUGGUAUCAUGCUCAUGCAUUGUAAA